rnacentral:rRNA from 1 species
AUGGCGACCCCCGAGGCGAUGAUGCCGCCGAUGUUCAUCAGGCCGAGGAUGAUGGCGCCCAUCAGCGCGGCGUCGCUACCGAACCCUAUGGUCCGGAAGAGUAUCGGCGAGAAGAAGGCCGACACGGUCACGCCGGUGAGGUUCAGGAACACGGGGAACGCCACCGCCAUCACCAGGUACGGCCGGUACUCCCGCCGCAGGAUCCGCCGGAACGCGCCCUCCUGGUUCCGCCGGUCGUGCUCCACGGCGGCGAGUAUGUCGCUGAACUCCGCGUCGACGUCCACGCCCUUGCCGCGGACGCGCUGGAGCGCGGCGCGGGCGUGGUCGUGCUUCCCGCGCAGGACGAGGCUGCUCGGGGUGUCCGUGAUGAGCACGGCGCCCAGCACCAUGACGGCGGCGGGGACAGCCGCGAGGCCGAGGGACAGGCGCCAGCCCCAUUCCGGAAUCCGCGACGUGCCGUAG